AUACUGUAGUCGUCCGAAAUUCACGUCCAUUCUCGCAUCAAAGUCGUGGGUUUCCGACAAUUGUUUACAAGUGCGCGCUUUGUGUACGUUACGAGUCCUGUAAGACAGAACUCUCAAGUUUGAGAAGGGAAUUAUUUUCCCCAUUUACUUGACUUUAAUGUGCCAUGAUUUAACUUUUUUUUGAAAAUUAGGGAUGAAUGGGUAGAUGUUUACAUUUUUGAUUAGUCAAACAAAAUUGUGGUUUAAUUAAAACUGGUUUGGCCCAAGGAAUAGAGUGGCAUUUGGUGAAUAUGCAUUGGAAAAAUAUUCUUUUGAUUUGCAAAAUUACAAAAACAAGAAACGGAUCAACAAAUAAGUUUAAUUUGUGAGCAUGCGAGCAAGAUAUUUUAAAUUUAUAUAGAUAUUUCUUAAUCAUAUUGAUGUUUAAUAAGUCGAAGCUAAAUUAUUUUAGCGUCUUCUGUGAAACGAUAUUGUUACUUCAUGUAUGCAAAAAAUUAAAUAACAAUAUUG
rnacentral:misc_RNA from 1 species